rnacentral:tRNA from 1 species
GGCCGAGUAGCUCAGUGGAUAGAGCAUCUGCCUUCUAAGCAGAUGGUCGGGAGUUCGAUUCUCUCCUCGGUCA